GAUGAACGCUGGCGGCGUGCCUAAUACAUGCAAGUCGAGCGAACAGACGAGGAGCUUGCUCCUCUGACGUUAGCGGCGGACGGGUGAGUAACACGUGGAUAACCUACCUAUAAGACUGGGAUAACUUCGGGAAACCGGAGCUAAUACCGGAUAAUAUAUUGAACCGCAUGGUUCAAUAGUGAAAGACGGUUUUGCUGUCACUUAUAGAUUGAUCCGCGCCGCAUUAGCUAGUUGGUAAGGUAACGGCAUACCAAGGCAACGAUGCGUAGCCGACCUGAGAGGGUGAUCGGCCACACUGGAACUGAGACACGGUCCAGACUCCUACGGGAGGCAGCAGUAGGGAAUCUUCCGCAAUGGGCGAAAGCCUGACGGAGCAACGCCGCGUGAGUGAUGAAGGUCUUCGGAUCGUAAAACUCUGUUAUUAGGGAAGAACAAAUGUGUAAGUAACUAUGCACGUCUUGACGGUACCUAAUCAGAAAGCCACGGCUAACUACGUG
rnacentral:rRNA from 1 species